GUCUCUUUGAUGGCCUGAAUAUUGAGUGCCUUUCUUUUGGACUGUCUGGAAAAACUUAACUUGGCCAGGUUUAUGGUUUUUGGAAAUAGAUAAGCUUCAUUUGGUGCUUGUCUUGGAAAUAUCUGAAGUAGAACCUAUUCUAAUUGAUAUGUCUCGAUUAGAGAGUGAACACCUGAAAUUAUGGUUUUUCAGCAUAUCAGCAUAAGAUUU
rnacentral:misc_RNA from 1 species